AAAAUCUGAUAUGCUCGUGCAUGGACAAAACUAAAGGUGAAAUGUUAUCAAAACGUCGACAAACACGAACGCCCUAGCCAGCCGCGUAGGCUACUUGGAUUAUUUAUAAUGGCUAAAAUACAGUUAUUGACAAUGUUUCUCAACCAGCGCUUAACAGCAGCUGCUAAUGAGAUAUUUGGGGCUGUUGAGAAAACGAUAGCAGAGUACCUGGAAGAAGUGUAUCGUUCAAAAGAGGAGAACGGCCUCUACAGAGGCAGCUUGAUUGAUAUCGUUCUCAAACCACCAGAGAUAAAAUUACAUAGGACAGACUUUCAGCAGCUCUCUCUCACUGUCUUCGAAGAGGAGGUUUCCCCUGAGCAGCAACACUGAGCAGGAGUGGAGCCCCAGUCUGGGGCAAGAAGACCCAGAGCCCACACAGAUUAAAGAGGAACAACAAACAGGACCCGUCAGGAGGAAGAGUUUCAUAAUGACACCUUCAUAAUUAGCUCUGACUGUGUGAAAAGUGACUAUGAUCAGGAAGAGGACUUAUGUCAGCCCUCACAUCUUUACCAAACCCAAAGUGAGGAAUAUGGACAGGGAGCCUCUCUACCUACCACCUCAUUGGAACAGAUCAAAGCUGAAACCGAUGGAGAGGGCUACAGAGUAUUAGAGCUAACGAGUGACUCUCAGCCCCUCUCUGCAGUAAAUCCAGACUGUUAUCCAAUCCCAAGUGAGUUGUCAAAGAAGAGGAAACAGAACCUUGGAUUAGGUUUAAGCCACUCAAAUCAAAGAAAGCACAGAAAAUAACAAGCCAAAUCUCCGGUAUCUGGAAAAAAGGAAGGAAAUCCAGUCUCAUCCCAUUUUAGCCCACACUGUCAAAACCUGUUGGUGUGGUGUGUGUGGAAAAAAUGUUACUCUGAGUUUUUUAAUAAAACAUACACGAGAACACACACGAAUAUAAACCUAGAUUGCCUUUGUGGUGUCUGUGGAAAACAAAAAAUUCUUAUAGACGAUCUCCAAACUCACAUGAAAAAUAUUUUUUGUCACUUAUGUGGUCAAUGUUUCAACUGGACUAGUAAUCUGAAAAGACAUAUGAUGAUUCACACAAGGGAAAGAUCCCAUUGUUGCAGUGACUGUGGCAAAGGCUUCAGGUCGGGUGAUUUGUCUGACAAAGCAUAGGAGUAUUCACACGGGACAAACCGUUUCCUUACCCCGGUUUGCCAUCGUCUUUUUAACAGACGAGAUAACCUGAAAGUGCAUAUGAGAGUUCACACAGGGGAGAGACCCUAAAUGUGUUCUGAAUGCUAUAAAUGUUUUGCCACGUUAGCUUCACUGAAUAAGCACCAGACAAUGCACAAUGAGGAAUGACUGUAUGUGUGCACUGAUUGCGGUACGCGCUUCAAAGCGCUUGAAUCCCAAAGAAGGCACACAAAGAGUGUUCACAAGAAGGAGAAUACAACAUGACAAUGCCUUGUAUGGGUUAUGGUAUCAGACAGAAGUUUGAGGCACAUUCUAACCAACAUUGGACAGGAGAACAGCCCUUCAGGACAAAUGCAUUGCAUUAUGGAAUCAGCACAGUAGUAUCCAUUAGUUAGUUUACCAACUGCAAAUAGCAGACAGAGGUUAUUUAUGUGCAUAAAGGGACGCAUUCUGUAUCUUGUUGACAGCCAAGCUAAUUUUAAAAAAAAUAUAUAUAUAUAAAUCCACAGUCGGACGCAUUUAAUUGGCUGGGAUGCUGGAUCCGGCCUAACCCAAAUCCAGGCCUACGUAAACCCAACCACAGAAGUGAUCUGUUUAGAUUAGAUCUAAUAUUGACCUGUUAUGAUGGGAAUUAAAAUUAUCUUCU